UCUCCAGAGGCUCAACAGUAGAGAAUCUGCCUGCAAAGCAGGAGCCUCAGGUUCCAACCCUGAGUUGGGAA
rnacentral:tRNA from 1 species